UAGUCCACGCCCUAAACGAUGCUUACUGGAUAUUCCUGUCAUGGGAGUGUCUGAGGGAAACCAUUAAGUAAGCCACCUGGGGAGUACGUCGGCAACGAUGAAACUCAAAGGAAUUGACGGGGACCCGCACAAGCGGUGGAACAUGUGGUUUAAUUCGAUGAUACGCGAGGAACCUUACCUGGACUUAAAUGUAGGUUGCAUAGAGUGGAGACAUUCUUUUCUUCGGACUACUUACAAGGUGCUGCAUGGUUGUCGUCAGCUCGUGCCGUGAGGUGUCGGGUUAAGUCCCAUAACGAGCGCAACCCCUAUCGUUAGUUGCCAUCAGGUCAUGCUGGGGACUCUAGCGAAACUGCCCGUGCAAACGGAGAGGAAGGUGGGAUGACGUCAAAUCAGCACGGCCCUUACGUCCAGGGGCUACACACGUGUUACAAUGGCAUAGACAGAGGCAGCUACACAGCGAUGUGAUGCGAAUCUCGAAACUAU
rnacentral:rRNA from 1 species